AUUCCAUGAAAGGGACACAACCUUAACAAAUCCUUAUAACGUUCCCACGCAUCAAACAAAUAUUCCCCAUCUUCUUGUUUAAAAUUAUUUAUCUCAUUCCUAACUUG